AUUGAGCGCUGGCGGCAUGCCUUACACAUGCAAGUCGAACGGCAGCACGGGUGCUUGCACCUGGUGGCGAGUGGCGAACGGGUGAGUAAUACAUCGGAACGUACCUUAUCGUGGGGGAUAACGCAGCGAAAGCUGUGCUAAUACCGCAUACGCCCUGAGGGGGAAAGCGGGGGAUCGCAAGACCUCGCGCGAUUAGAGCGGCCGAUGCCUGAUUAGCUUGUUGGUGGGGUAAAAGCCCACCAAGGCGACGAUCAGUAGCUGGUCUGAGAGGACGAUCAGCCACACUGGGACUGAGACACGGCCCAGACUCCUACGGGAGGCAGCAGUGGGGAAUUUUGGACAAUGGGGGCAGCCCUGAUCCAGCAAUGCCGCGUGAGUGAAGAAGGCCUUCGGGUUGUAAAGCUCUUUUGUCAGGGAAGAAACACCGGCUCUAACACAGUCCGGGAAUGACAGUACCUGAAGAAUAAGCACCGGCUAACUACGUGCCAGCCGCCGCGGUAA
rnacentral:rRNA from 1 species